rnacentral:rRNA from 1 species
AUGCAAGUCGAACGGUGAAGCAGAGCUUGCUCUGUGGAUCAGUGGCGAACGGGUGAGUAACACGUGAGCAAUCUGCCCCUGACUCUGGGAUAAGCGCUGGAAACGGCGUCUAAUACCGGAUACGAGCUGCGACCGCAUGGUCAGUAGCUGGAAAGAAUUUCGGUCAGGGAUGAGCUCGCGGCCUAUCAGCUUGUUGGUGAGGUAAUGGCUCACCAAGGCGUCGACGGGUAGCCGGCCUGAGAGGGUGACCGGCCACACUGGGACUGAGACACGGCCCAGACUCCUACGGGAGGCAGCAGUGGGGAAUAUUGCACAAUGGGCGAAAGCCUGAUGCAGCAACGCCGCGUGAGGGAUGACGGCCUUCGGGUUGUAAACCUCUUUUAGCAGGGAAGAAGCGAAAGUGACGGUACCUGCAGAAAAAGCGCCGGCUAACUACGUGCCAGCAGCCGCGGUAAUACGUAGGGCGCAAGCGUUAUCCGGAAUUAUUGGGCGUAAAGAGCUCGUAGGCGGUCUGUCGCGUCUGCUGUGAAAACCCGAGGCUCAACCUCGGGCCUGCAGUGGGUACGGGCAGACUAGAGUGCGGUAGGGGAGAUUGGAAUUCCUGGUGUAGCGGUGGAAUGCGCAGAUAUCAGGAGGAACACCGAUGGCGAAGGCAGAUCUCUGGGCCGUAACUGACGCUGAGGAGCGAAAGGGUGGGGAGCAAACAGGCUUAGAUACCCUGGUAGUCCACCCCGUAAACGUUGGGAACUAGUUGUGGGGUCCAUUCCACGGAUUCCGUGACGCAGCUAACGCAUUAAGUUCCCCGCCUGGGGAGUACGGCCGCAAGGCUAAAACUCAAAGGAAUUGACGGGGACCCGCACAAGCGGCGGAGCAUGCGGAUUAAUUCGAUGCAACGCGAAGAACCUUACCAAGGCUUGACAUAUAGAGGAAACGUCUGGAAACAGUCGCCCCGCAAGGUCUCUAUACAGGUGGUGCAUGGUUGUCGUCAGCUCGUGUCGUGAGAUGUUGGGUUAAGUCCCGCAACGAGCGCAACCCUCGUUCUAUGUUGCCAGCACGUAAUGGUGGGAACUCAUGGGAUACUGCCGGGGUCAACUCGGAGGAAGGUGGGGAUGACGUCAAAUCAUCAUGCCCCUUAUGUCUUGGGCUUCACGCAUGCUACAAUGGCCGGUACAAAGGGCUGCAAUACCGUGAGGUGGAGCGAAUCCCAAAAAGCCGGUCCCAGUUCGGAUUGAGGUCUGCAACUCGACCUCAUGAAGUCGGAGUCGCUAGUAAUCGCAGAUCAGCAACGCUGCGGUGAAUACGUUCCCGGGUCUUGUACACACCGCCCGUCAAGUCAUGAAAGUCGGUAACACCUGAAGCCGGUGGCCCAACCCUUGUGGAGGGAGCCGUCGAA